GGGAGCCGCCUUGAGGCCGAGGGCCUCGGAUGAUGUCCGUGUGACGCGCGCGUCGCUCUUCGCGGAGGAUUCAGGCCGAUGGAGGGCACCGCCGCACCACCGGGGUGCGUCGGGCGUAGUGGGUGUGCCUCCACCGACAGCGUUCAUAUUUGUUUUCUUCUGUUCUUGCGAUGUGUAUGGCGGCCCUUAUUGAAGGUCCCCGGAGUUGCUUGGUGCCGUUCGUCGCUUGAUGCCGAUGGGUAGUGCAGAAGCGAGCGCGGCGCGUGAGGGUGGCCUCGCCGGGCGCAAGAAUGGCGCUGAGGGCCGUCGGGCGCUCCGUGGUGUGCCACGGAUGCAAUAUGAGAACUCCGUCGCCGGACGAGCAUCGCGCGUCGGCCGUUUUGCCUCCAGAUGCGGGAGAAGAUCCCUUGGCGCCUCGCCGCCGUUACGCCGCCUCCCUAUCACUUUCUUCUCGCUUUCUAUGGCCAAAUCGCUCUCGGUUACGAGCGUGCUAAUAACGUGUUGAAUGUAAAAGUGAUUGAAUUAAGGAAAGGCUCCUGAUUUCAUUGAA